rnacentral:rRNA from 1 species
GACGAACGCUGGCGGCGCGCCUAACACAUGCAAGUCGAACGGAGCUUAGAGAGCUUGCUUUUUAAGUUUAGUGGCGAACGGGUGAGUAACGCGUGAGUAACCUGCCCUAGAGUGGGGGACAACAGUUGGAAACGACUGCUAAUACCGCAUAAGCCCACGGUACCACAUGGUACUGAGGGAAAAGGAUUUAUUCGCUUUAGGAUGGACUCGCGUCCAAUUAGCUAGUUGGUGAGGUAACGGCCCACCAAGGCGACGAUUGGUAGCCGGACUGAGAGGUUGAACGGCCACAUUGGGACUGAGACACGGCCCAGACUCCUACGGGAGGCAGCAGUGGGGGAUAUUGCACAAUGGGGGAAACCCUGAUGCAGCGACGCCGCGUGGAGGAAGAAGGUUUUCGGAUUGUAAACUCCUGUCGUUAGGGACGAUAAUGACGGUACCUAACAAGAAAGCACCGGCUAACUACGUGCCAGCAGCCGCGGUAAAACGUAGGGUGCAAGCGUUGUCCGGAAUUACUGGGUGUAAAGGGAGCGCAGGCGGGAAGACAAGUUGGAAGUGAAAACCAUGGGCUCAACCCAUGAAUUGCUUUCAAAACUGUUUUUCUUGAGUAGUGCAGAGGUAGAUGGAAUUCCCGGUGUAGCGGUGGAAUGCGUAGAUAUCGGGAGGAACACCAGUGGCGAAGGCGGUCUACUGGGCACCAACUGACGCUGAGGCUCGAAAGCAUGGGUAGCAAACAGGAUUAGAUACCCUGGUAGUCCAUGCCGUAAACGAUGAUUACUAGGUGUUGGGGGAUUGACCCCCUCAGUGCCGCAGUUAACACAAUAAGUAAUCCACCUGGGGAGUACGACCGCAAGGUUGAAACUCAAAGGAAUUGACGGGGGCCCGCACAAGCAGUGGAGUAUGUGGUUUAAUUCGAAGCAACGCGAAGAACCUUACCAGGUCUUGACAUCCGAUGCAUAGCACAGAGAUGUGUGAAAUCCUUCGGGACAUCGAGACAGGUGGUGCAUGGUUGUCGUCAGCUCGUGUCGUGAGAUGUUGGGUUAAGUCCCGCAACGAGCGCAACCCUUAUUGCCAGUUACUACGUUAAGAGGACUCUGGCGAGACUGCCGUUGACAAAACGGAGGAAGGUGGGGAUGACGUCAAAUCAUCAUGCCCUUUAUGACCUGGGCUACACACGUACUACAAUGGCGUUAAACAAAGAGAAGCAAGACCGCGAGGUGGAGCAAAACUCAAAAACAACGUCUCAGUUCAGAUUGCAGGCUGCAACUCGCCUGCAUGAAGUCGGAAUUGCUAGUAAUCGCGGAUCAGCAUGCCGCGGUGAAUACGUUCCCGGGCCUU